rnacentral:lncRNA from 10 species
GAGAAGAGUUGCCCCCCUAACUGCUGUGCCCUUUCUGUAUUCUGGACCCAUGGACUCUCAGGAACCUAACAAAAUGGUUGUUUUACAUCAGUAAGUUUUGGGGUAGUUUGUUGUGCAGCAAUAGGUAAGUGGAACACCUCUCAGAAUCUGUGUGUUUUAGUUGGGGAGAUAGCUGCCCAGCUAGAUACUGCAUUUCCCAGCCUCCUCACUUACGGGUGAACGUGGCUGUAAGUCCUGUGUAGGGUAUGUGAAUGGAAGAUGCAAUUUCCAAGUCAUAUCAAUAAAAUGUUAAGUGCUCAUUCUCCGCUUGCAUUCCCUCACCGCUUCUUUCUGGCACACCGACCUGGGGUACACAGAUAUUAAGGACGGCUGUCACAGAUUGGAUUCCCUAGGAAGCAGACUCAGAGCAGUUUAGCAUGCAGAAUAUUUAUUAAGGCGUUCCCUGGGAGUCAACACCUGUGUAAGGGAGGGGACAAAAGCAAGAGCGGGCAAAAGGAAAAGUUGAGCUGCAAUGCAGAUUCAAUGGCAGCCUCAGCCAACCCCACAGAGAGGUCAGGAGCUAAAGUGGUCCUUCAGAAUUGUCCCUCAUUGGGCUGAGAUGGCUAGACCUUUAUACCUCCACAGGUAUCAGUCAUUGGAUGGGGGUCAUCCUGGCAUAUGCUUUUGCAAAGUUAUAAUCAGGAUAUAUUAGUCAUCUAUUAUUGCAUAACAAAAUAAUCCAAAACUUAGUGACUAAAAACAUGCAUUUAUUAUCUCACAGUUGCUGUGUGCUAGAAAUCCAGAAGCAUGAGGUUGGGUGCUUCUGACUGAAGAUAUUUCAGGUUGCAGUUAAGCUGUCAGCUGGGGCAGCAGUCAUCUCAACUCUAUUGAGGCCAAAGGAUUCAGCUCACUCACGUGGUUGCUGGUAGGCCCCUUCCUUACCACAGGAUGCCCCUCUGAGCAUGAGAGUAUUCCUCAAGACCAAGGAGGAAGCUGCCUAUGGGACCUCAGAACAUGGAAGGUGGUGAUCAAGCGUGGGAGAACCAUAGAGAACCCAAAAACGAAACCCAAGAAGAAUUAGGUUUUAAAACCUAAUCUCAGUAGCGACAUCCUUAUUCAUUAGAAGUAAGUUCAGCCCACACUCAAGGGUAGCGGAUUACCCAAGGUCAUCCCAGGAGGCAGGGAUCAUUGAGGCCAUUUUAGAGUCUUCCUACCACACAUACCAUGCAUAAGAUUUUGUAUACUUAUAUUUUUACUUUUUUUUUUUUUGAGAUAGAGUCUCACUCUGUCAUCUAGGCGAGAGUGCAGUGGUGCGAUCUUGGCUCACUGCAACCUCCGCCUCCUGGGUUCAAGUGAUUCUGCUGUCUCAGCCUCCUGAGUAGCUAGAAUUACAGGCGUGUGCCACCAUGCUCAGCUAAUUUUUGUAUUUUUUUGUUUUGUUUUGUUUUGUUUUUUGAGAGAGUCUCACUCUGUCAUCCAGGCUGGAGUGCAGUGGUGUGAUCUCGGCUCACUGCAACCUCCAUCUCCUGGGUUCAAGCAAUUCUCCUGCCUCAGCCUCCUGAGUAGUUGGGACUACAGGCGCAUGCCACCAUGCCCGGCUAAUUUUUUGUAUUUUUAGUAGAGACAGAGUUUCACCAUGUUGGCUAUGGCUGGUCUCAAACUCCUGACCUCAGGUGACCCACCUGCCUCGGCCUCCCAAAGUGCUGGGAUUACAGGCGUGAGCCACCGUGCCUGGACUACUUUUUAUCAACAUUUUGUUUUCCUACAGAUUCUUCAUUUAAACAAUUUUUUUUUUGAGAUGGAAUUUCGCUCUUGUUGCCCAGGCUGGAGUGCAAUGGUGUGAUCUCAGCUCACCGCAACCUCCACCUCCCAGGUUCAAGCGUUUCUCCUGCCUCAGUCUCCUAAGUAGCUGGGAUUACAGGCAUGCACCACCACAUCUGGCUAAUUUUGUAUUUUUAGUAGAGAUGGGGUUUCUCCAUGUUGGUCAGGCUGGUCCCAAACUCUUGACCUCAGGUGAUCUGCCCGCCUUGGCCUUUGGGAUUACAGGCGUGAGCUACCGCACUUGGCCACAAUAUGUUGUUUCUAAAAAUUAUAAAGCAGUAUAUUGUAAAAUUUUUCAAAUGUUUGAUCAAGGUAUAAAAUUCAUUUCCUUAUACUAUACCACAUGUUAAUUGAUCCAGGGGUAAUCACAAUUAAGUUUUUAUUGUAUCUGCUGAGAUACUUUCCAUACACACGUAAGCAUAUACAUAUAUACACACACACACAUUAUUGUACACUUAAUUUAUGUCCUUAAUACAUUCUGAAGCACUUUCCAUAUCAGCACGUUGAGAUCUAGCUCAUUGGUUUAAACAUCUGCAUGUUUCAUUUUAUGAUUAUACAAAAAAAUUUUUCAGCAGUUCCCUAUUGAUGGAUAUUUACAUAUUUUUGUUUUGUCUGACAUGACAAACAUUGCAAAUGUACAUCCUUUGUCUCAUGAUGAAUCAUGCCUUGAGUCUCACUCAUAUCUGAUUUAGAUGAGACUUUGGACUUUGACUUUAAAGUUGAUGCUGGAACAAGUUAAGACUUUUUAGGGGCUAUUGGGAUGGAAUGAAUUUAUUUUGCAUGUGAGGACAUGAAUCUGGGGAGCCCAAGGUGUGGAAUGCUAUGUUUUGAAUGUGUUGUCUCCACAAUUCAUGUGUUGGAAACUUAAUCCCAAUGCAACAGGGUUGGGAGGCGGAGCCUUCUGGGAGAUGAUUAGGUCACAAGGACUCUGGCCUCAUAUUUGAUUGAUGCCAUUAUAAAAAGGGUUUGCGGGAGCAUGUUAGCUCUCCCUUGCCCUUCCAUCUUCUGCCAUGGGAGGACAGCAAGAAGGCCCUUCCCAGAUGCUGGCACCUGAUCAUGGUCUUCCUGGCCUCCAGAAUUGUAAGAAGUAAAUUUUUUUUUUUUUUAACGAAGAAGUGAGUAUUUUAUUAUUUUGCUGUACAGCUGUUGCUUCACUAUAUAAAAACAGCACCAGCAAAUGCAGUGUAUUGCAAAAUUAAGAUAGUGUUGUUCUUCAUCUGACACUGUACAAGCAACAAAAACUUCUUCACUCCCAGUUAUUUCCAAUGGAAAGAUCAUUAAGUAUUUCAUCCCAAGUCCAGGUAUGGACAUACACAAGUUACAAUAUUAUAUAAGGCUUAAGAAUAACAACAUUAUCUUUGAAUUAUGUAAUUUUUGUAACUAAUUUUUACCAUGGAUAAUUUCAUGGAUAAUUUCAUGAAUACUAGAGCCUAGUCUAAAAAUCAUAGGAUGUUGUGAAAAAGACACAUAUUAUGUUUAUCUACAAUCAUUAGAAAGUUAAAAGGCAUCUUCUUUCAUUAGCAGUGUUAACAGUAGUUUUUUUUUCCCAUGGGUAAUGCUAAAAGUUGCUAUUCUAAGUCUUCUAUCCACCACUAAUUUAGGACAACUCUGCUGGGUUGCGUUAUUUCAUACUAGCUUAUUUAGUGGUUCCAUUUUCACUCCUCAAUAGAUUUUAUGUAUUUCUCAUAUGCUUCUUCACUCAUAAGUUCAUCUAGUUAUGAAGGGUUACUCAGUGUCAUCUUGAUCAGCCAACCAUCUUCAUAACGAGAUUUGUUUACAAGUCCUGGAUUUUCUGCAAGAGCUUCAUUAAUUUCGGUUACUUCUCCUGAUAAAGGAGAAUAGAGUUCACUAGCAGCUUUCACACUCUCCAAAGCACCAAACUCAUCUUGUUUGUUCAAUUUUGUCCCAACUUCAGGCAGAUUACAGUAACCAGACGGCGCCCAUCCCAAGCUGCCAGGGCCUCGAUAGGCAGGGCGCGGCAGGUGCCAGGACCACGUGCAGGCUGCAGAGCACGGCCCGCACGCUCCGCACCACUCGCAGCGCCAUGUUCCCAGGGGUGCGGGGAUGGCAGCGCUACGCCUCAGCCACUCGCGCGGGGAGGCGGGGCGGUGUGGGCAGAAGUAAAUUUCUUUAUAAAUUACCCAGUCUGGGCCUGGUGUGUUGGCUCACAUGUGUAAUUCCAGAACUUUGGGAGGUCAAGGUGGGAGGAGCGCCUGGGCCCAGGGGUUCAAGACGAGCCUGGGCAACAUAGUGAGACCUGUCUCUAUAAAAUAUUUUUAAAAAUUAGCUGGGCGCGGUGACAAAUUUUGUGCAAUUUUAAGUUUUACAUUUUUUUGUACAAAU